CGUGUGUACGAAUCUCACAGAGCCUGGCACAGGGCAAGCUGUCAGAAUGUCUGGGGACAAUGUCCCAUUCACUUUUUGCAGCUCCUGCACCUGGUACCAAACUACUGCUCAAUAAACAUUUGUAAAGAGAGUUGGGGAAGGUGGCAGUAGACAUACCAGGGAGGCCUGACUGGAGGCAGCAUUAACAGAAAAUACUUGCUUUCUCCGUUUAUACAGUCCAGAGUUUCAAAGCCUUCACGGCAGAAGGACUGGAGAAUUUCUCUGUGGUACAGAGUCAGGUGCCAUAAAAUAAUGAGCUGGCACUUGGGGUCUGAGUGAGCGCACCAUCUCUCUCAAGGGAGGUAGUCAUGCUAAGACUAGACCCUCCUCUAAGAAAAGGCAGAAAUUCACAUUCCACAUGAAAUAGGCCAAGUCCUUAUAAUUAAAUGGAUUUUUAAACAGAUUCUCCCCCAAAAGAAUGCCAACAGCACGUGCUGCUUAUGUGUGUAUGUUGUAUGUCUGUGCGUGUGGGUACACUCAUGCCACAGUGACCCUGCAGAGGUCAGAGGACAGCUUUCACAAGUGGCUGCUCCCCCUCCAUCACGGGUUCUGGCAAUCGAGCUCCGAUUCGAUUCGAGUGGCCGACACAUUUACGCACUCAGCCAUCUCGUUGGCCAACUGCGGAUCUCUAAAGUAUAGUUGUCUUGUGCCUGGAACAGUGACACUAAAAAAAAAAAAUAAAAA
rnacentral:lncRNA from 1 species